rnacentral:rRNA from 1 species
GAUGAACGCUGGCGGCGUGCUUAACACAUGCAAGUCGAACGGAAAUAGAAUGAAAAAGCUGAUGCUUGCAUCAGCAUGGGAUUUCUAUUUUAGUGGCGGACGGGUGAGUAACGCGUGGAUAACCUGCCUCACACUGGGGGAUAACACUUAGAAAUAGGUGCUAAUACCGCAUAAGCGCACAGGACCGCAUGGUCUGGUGUGAAAAACUCCGGUGGUGUAAGAUGGAUCCGCGUCUGAUUAGCUAGUUGGUGAGGUAACGGCUCACCAAGGCGACUAUCAGUAGCCGGCCUGAGAGGGUGAACGGCCACAUUGGGACUGAGACACGGCCCAAACUCCUACGGGAGGCAGCAGUGGGGAAUAUUGCACAAUGGGCGAAAGCCUGAUGCAGCGACGCCGCGUGAGUGAAGAAGUAUUUCGGUAUGUAAAGCUCUAUCAGCAAGGAAGAAAAUGACGGUACUUGACUAAGAAGCCCCGGCUAACUACGUGCCAGCAGCCGCCGUAA